CUGGAGUGAUGUUACUUAGCCAAAUCAGACAUAGAUGCGCUCCAUAAGGCAAUAUCUUCAAAGCUUGUGUUAUUUGUUCUUAAAGAGACAUGUUCAUAUCCUCUUGUGCAACUCAGACCAAGCAUUAGACAAGAUGCCUUAUGUAGAAGUGCAUCCUCUGAUGAUCACUUGGAGAUUGGUUGCUGGCUGACCAGA